AAUAGAUACCCUGGUAGUCCACGCCGUAAACGAUGAGUGCUAAGUGUUAGAGGGUUUCCGCCCUUUAGUGCUGCAGCUAACGCAUUAAGCACUCCGCCUGGGGAGUACGGCCGCAAGGCUGAAACUCAAAGGAAUUGACGGGGGCCCGCACAAGCGGUGGAGCAUGUGGUUUAAUUCGAAGCAACGCGAAGAACCUUACCAGGUCUUGACAUCCUCUGCCAACCCUAGAGAUAGGGCGUUCCCCUUCGGGGGACAGAGUGACAGGUGGUGCAUGGUUGUCGUCAGCUCGUGUCGUGAGAUGUUGGGUUAAGUCCCGCAACGAGCGCAACCCUUGAUCUUAGUUGCCAGCAUUCAGUUGGGCACUCUAAGGUGACUGCCGGUGACAAACCGGAGGAAGGUGGGGAUGACGUCAAAUCAUCAUGCCCCUUAUGACCUGGGCUACACACGUGCUACAAUGGAUGGUACAAAGAGCUGCGAACCCGGCGAGGGUAAGCCAAUCUCAUAAAGCCAUUCUCAGUUCGGAUUGU
rnacentral:rRNA from 1 species